rnacentral:rRNA from 1 species
GAUGAACGCUGGCGGCGUGCCUAAUACAUGCAAGUCGAGCGAACAGACGAGGAGCUUGCUCCUCUGACGUUAGCGGCGGACGGGUGAGUAACACGUGGAUAACCUACCUAUAAGACUGGGAUAACUUCGGGAAACCGGAGCUAAUACCGGAUAAUAUAUUGAACCGCAUGGUUCAAUAGUGAAAGACGGUUUUGCUGUCACUGAUAGAUGGAUCCGCGCCGCAUUAGCUAGGUGGUAAGGUAACGGCUUACCAAGGCAACGAUGCGUAGCCGACCUGAGAGGGUGGUCGGCCACCCUGGAACUGAGACACCGUCCAGACUCCUUCGGGAGGCCGCAGUAGGGAAUCUUCCGCAAUUGGCGAAAGCCUUACGGGGCAACGCCGCGUGGGUUAUUAAGGUCUUCGGAUCGUUAAACUCUGUUAUUAGGGAAGAACAAAUGUGUAAGUAACUAUGCACGUCUUGACGGUACCUAAUCAGAAAGCCACGGCUAACUACGUG